CACAGGAGCCAGCCGCGGCACCUGCCGGGGUGUUGUAUCACAGUGCCUUCAGUUUGUUACCGGCUGGGCAAUAUUUUCAAUUCUUUUUAAACGUUGAUUCAUUUCUGAGAGACAGAGAAAGAGAGCAAGCAGGGGUGGGGCAGACAGAGAGGGAGACACAGAACCUGAAACAGGCUCUAGGCUCCGGAGCUGUCAGCACAGAGAUGAUGACCUGAGCCUAAGUCGGAUGCUUAACCCACUGAGCCACCCAGGCACCGGUGGGCAAUUUCUGAAUGCCGCUCUUUGUCCUUCCACCUGGAUGAGUUUCUUCCUCCGCAGAUCAAAAAAGGCCCCUUCAAGCUUAUUCGUUUGUUCAGCAAAUACUAUUAUGUAUCUGGAACUCUAUUGUGGGCUGGAUUUACGAAGAUGAACGUGGCAGGUAUCUAUGAAAGUCUGGCCCCUGCUUGCUGAAUUCUUCCAAAAGCACUGGAUUUUUGUCAAUAGGAUUGGAUGUUGGUGGAGUUGUGAGAUGUCUCAGCUCUGGAGAUUAUGUUAUUACUGUCAUUCUUCCUCCCAGGUACCAUAUUUAGAAUUUUUAGACCUAUUUAUAAACCACUGACUCCUUGUUUACACUGGCUGGUGCCUACCGCAGAAGAAAUAUUUGUUGACUGACUUUCUUAGUCCAUUCAUUAAAAUUGGCUUAUUAACCUUCUUCCCAGAGCACUGCCAGCAAAUGUGUGAGCGCUUCCAUUUCAGGCAUCAGCAGCUCUGCUUUACUGGAAGGACUCUUACAGUUCAGCUUUAAAAUAGUAUUGAUAAUAUUUUAGUUGCCCUGUUGAAUUUACCAUUAUAACAUUCACUAUAAUUUGUAAUACUUACUAUGUGGGCUAUGCAUUUAUAUACAGUUACACACAAUGGCACAUAGGGGCUCACACUCAAUAUAUGUGUCUGUC